rnacentral:rRNA from 1 species
GACGAACGCUGGCGGCGUGCCUGACACAUGCAAGUCGGACGGUUCUUGUAUCUUCAAGCUUGCUUGCAGGUGCAAGGAUAGUGGCGGACGGGUGAGUAACGCGUGAACAUCUACCCAUUGGAGGGGGACAACCCGUCGAAAGGCGGGCUAAUACCGCGUAAGCCGCGAGGUGAGAGGCUGCCUAUUGGUGGCCGCCGAUGGAUGGGUUCGCGUCCUAUCAGCUGGUUGGUGGGGUAACGGCCUACCAAGGCGAUGAUGGGUAGCCGGCCUGAGAGGGUGUACGGCCACACUGGGACUGAGAUACGGCCCAGACUCCUACGGGAGGCAGCAGCUAAGAAUAUUCCGCAAUGGACGAAAGUCUGACGGAGCGACGCCGCGUGGAUGAAGAAGGCCGAAAGGUUGUAAAGUUCUUUUGCUAGGGGAGAAUAAGUGAGGGAGGGAAUGCCCUCAUGAUGACAAGGACUAGCGAAUAAGCCCCGGCCAACUACGUGCCAGCAGCCG